rnacentral:rRNA from 1 species
AUUGAACGCUGGCGGCAUGCCUUACACAUGCAAGUCGAACGGCAGCACGGGAGCAAUCCUGGUGGCGAGUGGCGAACGGGUGAGUAAAGUAUCGGAACGUGCCCAGUCGUGGGGGAUAACGUAGCGAAAGUUACGCUAAUACCGCAUACGAUCUAUGGAUGAAAGCGGGGGAUCGCAAGACCUCGCGCGAUUGGAGCGGCCGAUAUCAGAUUAGGUAGUUGGUGGGGUAAAGGCCCACCAAGCCGACGAUCUGUAGCUGGUCUGAGAGGACGACCAGCCACACUGGGACUGAGACACGGCCUAGACUCCUACGGGAGGCAGCAGUGGGGAAUUUUGGACAAUGGGCGAAAGCCUGAUCCAGCCAUGCCGCGUGCAGGAUGAAGGCCUUCGGGUUGUAAACUGCUUUCGUACGGAACGAAAAGGACUGCCCUAAUACGGUGGUCCCAUGACGGUACCGUAAGAAUAAGCACCGGCUAACUACGUGCCAGCCGCCGCGGUAA